rnacentral:tRNA from 1 species
AACAGGGUAGCUCAGUGGUAGAGCGGUUGGCUCUGGACCGACUGGACGCAGGUUCGAGCCCUGCCCCUAAAA